rnacentral:rRNA from 1 species
UUCCAGACUCCUACGGGAGGCAGCAGUCGGGAAUAUUGCGCAAUGGAGGAAACUCUGACGCAGUGACGCCGCGUGCAGGAAGAAGGUUUUCGGAUUGUAAACUGCUUUAGAUAGGGAAGAAAAAAAUGACAGUACCUAUAGAAUAAGCCCCGGCUAACUACGUGCCAGCAGCCGCGGUAAUACGUAGGGGACAAGCGUUAUCCGGAUUUACUGGGUGUAAAGGGAGCGUAGACGGCAUGGCAAGUCUGGUGUGAAAGGCAGGGGCUCAACCCCUGGACUGCAUUGGAAACUGUCAGGCUGGAGUGCAGGAGAGGUAAGUGGAAUUCCUAGUGUAGCGGUGAAAUGCGUAGAUAUUAGGAGGAACACCAGUGGCGAAGGCGACUUACUGGACUGUAACUGACGUUGAGGCUCGAAAGCGUGGGGAGCAAACAGGAUUAGAUACCCCCGUA